rnacentral:tmRNA from 1 species
GGGGAUGCACCGGUUUCGACGGGUGAGGUUGUAGGCUUGAGUUGCAGGUGAGGUUGCCUGUCCUCUAAACAGACAAAAACUAUAACUGCCGACAAUAAUCGUCAGUUUGCUCUUGCUGCGUAAGCAGUGAGCACGGGAAUCGAUUUGCGCUGCUCUGAGUGAAUCGAAUUCCUGUCACCUACCAGAGCUUGCUGUGAACGGUGUCCGGUACGUUCACGGGACUUUUAUCGGAAUACGAGGUCGACGCUUGCGGUGCUGCUACCGACCUUCGACAACUAUCUCGCAUCGCUAAACCUGUAGACGCUCCUGUCUCCCACAUUCGGACGGGGGUUCAAUUCCCCCCAUCUCCACUC